rnacentral:rRNA from 1 species
AAUAUUUGACAAUGGGGGCAACCCUGAUCCAGCCAUGCCGCGUGUGUGAAGAAGGUCNNNGGAUUNUCAAGCACUUUAAUUUGNGAGNAAGGGCUUUAGGUUAAUACCCUGAAGUUUUGACGUUACCAACAGAAUAAGCACCGGCUAACUCUGUGCCAGCAGCCUCGGUAAUACAGAGGGUGCAAGCGUUAAUUGGACUUAAUGGGCGUAAAGCGCGCGUAGGUGGUUCAGUAAGAUAGGUGUAAAAUCCCCGGGCUUAACCUGGGAACUGCUUUCAUAACUGCUGAGCUAGAGUACGGUAGAGGGUAGUAGAAUUUCCUGUGUAGCGGUGAAAUGCGUAGAUAUAGGAAGGAACACCAGUGGCGAAGGCGACUACCUGGACUGAUACUGACACUGAGGUGCGAAAGCGUGGGGAGCAAACA